rnacentral:piRNA from 1 species
UCAGGGAUAAAUGCAUUUCUGGACAAAAGU